rnacentral:rRNA from 1 species
AGUGAACGCUGGCGGUAGGCCUAACACAUGCAAGUCGAACGAGUGGCGGACGGGUGAGGAAUACAUCGGAAUCUCCUCUGUCGUGGGGGAUAACCUAGGGAAACUUACGCUACUACCGCAUACGAUUCAAUGAGCCGAUGUCGGAUUAGCUAGUUGGCGGGGUAAAGGCCAACCAAGGCGACGAUCCGUAGCUGGUCUGAGCGGAUGAUCGGGCACACUGGAACUGAGACACGGUCCAGACUCCGACGGGAGGCAGCAGUGGGGAAUAUUGGAAAAUGGGCGCAAGCCUGAUCCAGCCAUGCCGCGUGGGUGAAGAAGGCUUUCGGGUUGUAGAGCCCUUUUGUUGGGAAAGCGGUACCCAAAGAAUAAGCAACGGCUAACUUCGUGCCAGCAGCCGCGGUAAUUC